GGGAGUUCUAUGAGCUACAGGUGAGACGGGGAGUUCUAUGAGCUACAGGUGAGACGGGGAGUUCUACAAGCUACAGGUGAGACGGGGAGUUCUACAAGCUACAGGUGAGACGGGGAGUUCUACAAGCUACAGGUGAGACGGGGAGUUCUACAAGCUACAGGUGAGACGGGGAGUUCUAUGAGCUACAGGUGAGACGGGUUAAUGGCCUCGGUGGCCUGGCAGGUGGCCUGGCAGAUUGGGCUCCUCUUGAAGGCCAAAUGACCUUACCCAUAAAAUCACGAAAUUCCAGACCUUCAAGAUGGGCGUGUGAGUGGACAGACUCUUACCAGAGAACAUGGGAACGA